rnacentral:rRNA from 1 species
UACGUAGGGGGCUAGCGUUGCUCGGAAUCACUGGGCGUAAAGCGCACGUAGGCGGCUUUUUAAGUCAGGGGUGAAAUCCUGGAGCUCAACUCCAGAACUGCCUUUGAUACUGAGAAGCUUGAGUCCGGGAGAGGUGAGUGGAACUGCGAGUGUAGAGGUGAAAUUCGUAGAUAUUCGCAAGAACACCAGUGGCGAAGGCGGCUCACUGGCCCAUUACUGACGCUGAGGCACGAAAGCGUGGGGAGCAAACAGG